AUUAUGAAGUGGGCCUCAGGAUGGGAGUGGAAACAGAGCCUCUUGUUCACACUCCACACCCUCAUCUUCCAGCAGUGAGGGUAGACUAUUAAGGCUUUCAUGUCAUCCAGGAUCAAGGCAAUGGAUUAAUGGAGACUCUAGACAUUUGUUUCCUCACCAGUGAAAAUUAAAUGAAGACCCAGGAAUCACUACAGCUAUGGGGAUGAGAAGGACAUUUCAGCAGCUAGAGUAUGGUGAAAUAUGGCAGGCACACAGGCCUGAGACUGGAGUAUGGCUUCCUACUUCUUCCUCCGCAAAUUAAAGACAGCGAGCCCCAGGGUGCUAAUCCAACUGAGCUGCCACUCCAACUACAAUUAGCGAAGCUGAACAAGAAAGGAGAGAUGGAAAACCUGCCCCUAAAUGAGGUAUCCUAACCUCAUGCGUUUUCCAGUGAAGCGAAUUACAAAGGCGAGUUCAGAAAGAAAAAUGAACCGGGGAACCUGAAUCUUGCCUUGAGGCAUAGAACUGA
ensembl:lincRNA